rnacentral:tRNA from 1 species
UGUGGUGUAGCUCAGUGGUAGAGCACUUGCCUAGCAUGAGUAAGGCCCUAGAUUCAAUCCCCAGCACUGCAA